UGAAGAGCCAGUGUGCUGUACGGUG
rnacentral:piRNA from 1 species